UACAAGCAGACGGCAAGCGAAUCAUCGAAAAUUAUCGCUCCAUGAAAGUAUAUUUGUGUGCACGUCGGCGCAACAGAUGAGCCAAUAAUCGAUAAAAAAGUUAUGGUCAUGAAAGUAAAUCGUAACUUCUUGACUCAUUGCACUAUAACGCAAGGCCACGGAUAAGAUAUUAAUCGCGUUUGCUGCUUGAUAAAAUUGGAAAUCUGCACUCGGUUAUAAGUGGGUGUGGUUGUACUAGUACUGUCAGGUCAGAGCGAUUAGAAGGCGUGUAAACUUGCUGAGUUAUGCAAGCGAGUGAUUGCAUUCGAGUAUACGGCAUUGCCAAGCGAUCAUGAGCGUGAUCGCGCGUAGGAAGUAUUUAAAGAGAGAGACCACUCGGAGAAAACAUCGUUAUAUCGGGGCAACGUUGAAUACAUGUAAUAUAAGAACAUUUACAGAAUCAUCACCGUGCCGAAUAAUAAAUUGGCUGGAUGAAGGUUCAUAAAUGGAGCUAUCGGAAACUGGUGAUCUCUUAACAGGAUCUUUGAUGUCGAUUUCCAACAGGACAAUGUCAUCGAUGUUGGCCGAUGAUGAUACUGUCUUUUUGGCGACAUUAGCAAUGGUUUCUUCUCCAAC